GACCCCUGGACAGACAAGUUCAGUCAAAGGCGACUAUGGGGUUGUGGCGCUCUUCUCGCUUUCAGGCCAAGGGAGCUGGCGUUUUUCCAUAGACAGCUUUCCAGGUCAUGUCACCAGCAUGACUAAACUGCUUCUGGCGCAAUGGAACACCAUGAUGGAAACAAGUGUGCACUGAAACAUCUUCCUGCCACAGCAGUACCUAUUCAUCUACUUGCAUUGGCAUGCUUUAGAACUGCUAGGUUGGCAGGAGCUGAGACAGAGCAACGGGAGCUCACCCCGUUGUGGGGAUUCGAACCGCCAACCUUCCGAUCAGCAAGCCCAAGAGGCUCAGUGGUUUAGACCACAGCGCCAUCUGCAUCCCUUAAAGUGGAUUAUAAGGUUCUGUGGCCCCAGUGCAACAAAUCCACUUUUAAAAUGAAUCAGACUUUUUGUGGAUUAGAAAGUGAUGGGGAAAUGUAUCGAAAAGUGAAGGGGAAAUGAAUGUCUAAUGGGAAAAUGUAUAAACACCCUACAAGCAAAUUUUAUUUACAACCAGUCCAGGGGGUAACACUGGCCACCUUUUUCCUACUUUGUCUCAGGAUUGCCCUUGUAAAACUCAGAAGAGGAAGAUGACUCUGCCUCUCAUUGGCUCUUAUUCUACCUGCUGUUUGUCUCUCUGCCUUUUGCCCUACCAGUCCCAAUGAGCACCAGCCACCACAUAGCUGCAUAUCUUUCUUACAUCAAUAAAAAAUUAUCUAGCAAAGAGGUGCCAUAUAUAUUUGCAAUGUAUGGCUGAAAAUCCAGAAAUGUGUAUUUCAUCAGAGUGCAACAAUUAAUUUCAAACACUUUUUGUUAGGGAGCAUAACAACUUUUCAGGCACUGAAAAAAAGCCAGCACUUUUUUUUUUUAAGUGUCAUAUAUGCAGAAUUCUCUGUUAAUUUAAUAAUACACAGAAGAGUGAUUUUAAAAAUCGUGAAUGUAAUUACAGAUGGGGAAAGGAGACUAACAACAUCAAAUACUUUUAGUUCCACAAAAUAAUGUUUAAAAUGAGUAGGCUAUGAAUAUUUAUGGAGGACAAAGAGGAAAAGAAAAGGUUGGUUUCUUUUAGGUGCCAUGCAAUGCAAUGCAAUAAAUAUUUACUCAGUGGUUAAUUCCUGUGUGUUCAAUAGGGCCUAUUACCAAAUAUGUGUUUUGCAGCCUUAAAUACUUUGUGGCUCCCUUUUCUUCUCCAACAGAGUCCUUUUUGCAUUGCAAAUGAUAUUUCUAGUCCCUCUGUCUUCAGCUGUUUUCUCCAUCUGUUGGACUGUGAUCACAUGAUGGAAAAACUCAUUUGACCUUCCUUUUCCAUGUGGUAAUUUUGCACUCCAUAAGUCCCUGUCCCCCCCAUAUGACUUUUAUAAACAGCCUGGGUCUUGUCAAAUCAUAUGUAAAUAAUAAGAAACGGAGGGUAAGAUUUGUUUGACAUCUUACUGCACUGCUUAAUAUUAUCUUGCCAUUAUUGUGUAGCUUUGUUCUGUAAUUUUUAUGUACGUGGAAUAUUUAUAUUUUGCAGGUUGUCUGGAAUGGAAAGUAUGGAAUAACAAUAUUUUGUACAAAGUGUUUUGUGCCUUCACCCAUGGAGGUCGAGGAAGAGUGUAUGUAUAGAUUUGGAACCUGCCAGAGAAUGACGAAGUAAGUAAGUUGGUUUUUUCUGCCAACACCUGUUGCUCUAGGCUAGGGGUGGCUAAGGUGAUGCUCUUCAAAUGUGAUGCUUCUUCCUCUGUGAGUAUUUCCUUCCCAUCCCCUGCUUGCCCCACUGUUUCCCAGUCCUGGCUACAGCCCUUGCCGGGAUUCUCUUCCUCCUCUUCCUCCUCCCCAUCACCCUGCCAGUAUCUGACGCUAGAACUUGAACCAAUGAAUUCAAGUUACAAGAAAGGAGCUUCCAAUUAAACAUCAGGAAGACCUUUCUGACAGUAAGAGCUGUCUGACAGUGGAACAGACUCUCUUGGGAAGUGGUUGACUCUCCUUCCAUGGAAGUUUAUAAGCAGAGGUUGGGUGGCCAUCUAUCAUGGAUGCUUUAGCUGUGAUUCCUGCAUUGCAGGGGGUUGGAGUAGAUGAAGAAGAAGAACAGUUUUGGAUUUGAUGUCCUGCUUUAUCACUACCCUAAGGAGUCUCAAAGCGGCUAACAAUCUCCUUAUCCCUUCCUCCCCCACAACAAAUGCUCUGUGAGGUGAGUGAGGCUGAAAGACUUCAGAGAAUUGUGACUAGCCCAAGGUCACCCAGCAGCUGCAUGUGGAGGAGCAGGGAAUCGAACCCGGUUCACCAGAUUACGAGUCCAGCACUCUUAACCACUACACCACACUGGCUCUAGAUGACCCUUGUAGUUCCUUCCAACUCUAAAAUUCUAUUAUUCUAACAAGGGUGAUAUUUCACCAUGACCAUUAUAUGGAAAGGGAAGUUAGAAAUCUUUCUAAUAAUUAAACAUGUAAUAAAUAUUAUAGGAAGCCUAGGCAAUAUGCAACAGAACAAUGGUAUUAAAACAAGAAUAAGAU